rnacentral:pre_miRNA from 7 species
GUAUCAGCCUGGAGAGAUAGCUCAGUGGCUAAGAAUGAAAGACCUCCAAAGGGAGACCCUCACUCAAGUCUCGGGAUAAUAGUGGACCCCCAAGAACUCACAAGAGACC